UGAAUUUAUAGUACACAAUUUCUUCGCUAGUGUUGGCAACUUUUAGGUUGAUAAUAUCAAAAGUUACUAAAAAGUUACCAGAAAAAUUUCAACAAUUUAUCGACCAAUUAAAAAUUGGACAAGAAAAACCAAUUUCUGUAUUACACGUAGCAAUAAAUUGAAUAAAUUGGGUAAUAAAUUGGCGUGUGCUAAACAACUAUUACGUAUCAGUAGUCCCGUAUAAAAACUGAUAAUUAUCUCGUUAAUUACUAAAACCACCACAACGGUUCAAAGGAAACAUAAAAAAUAUAUAAUGGACUAUUUGGAAUAAAAUUAUGGGGUGAUAUUCACAAGAAAAAGAACUGAUGGUCGCCCCCAGGUGCGAAGAAGUUUGUUAACCUAGUUUCUCGUGUGGGAAGGAGAUCUUCCAAAACUUCUGUUCCAUGUACCGGAACGAGGCGACUCCGUGAAGUAAAACGUCUAAUAAUUUGAUAAUUUACAAGGAAAAUUCUCCCUUUAUUAAUAUACCUAUGACUUUGAAAGAGACAAGUUUAUUAUUACACCCAAACUGUUUGUGGGAUAUUAACGUGGGAGAAGAUGGAACUUAUUGAACCAGCACUAAAUAUAAAUCAAUACUAUUAUAAUAGUAAUAUUAUAGAAAAAGCUUAAAUGAAAGGUAAAUUACAAGAUACUAAAAUUUAAACAAUUAAAAGAGAAUCACAACAAUUAUCUGGAGCAAAUGUUAUCAACGAUAUAUUAAAACAAACAUAAAUUGACAAUCAGUCAAUAAAACAAAUCAAUAUCUUGUAUUGAUGUGCAAAGAAAACAUCUCGUGUUUUUCACACAAAUAAAACGUUAUAAAAGUUCAAUUAUCUAGAACCGAUUUGCUGCACAUCGAUCGAUUUGAAAUUUGUUGUAAUCAAUUCCAAAAUAAUAAUAAUCAUUAAAAUUAUG